rnacentral:rRNA from 1 species
UUCCGCAAUGGGCGAAAGCCUGACGGAGCAAGACCGCGUGGGGGAAGAAGGCUCUUGGGUUGUAAACCCCUUUUCUCUGGGAAGAACACAAUGACGGUACCAGAGGAAUCAGCAUCGGCUAACUCCGUGCCAGCAGCCGCGGUAAGACGGAGGAUGCAAGCGUUAUCCGGAAUGAUUGGGCGUAAAGCGUCCGCAGGUGGCAGUUCAAGUCUGCUGUCAAAGACCGGGGCUUAACCUCGGAAAGGCAGUGGAAACUGAACAGCUAGAGUAUGGUAGGGGCAAAGGGAAUUCCUGGUGUAGCGGUGAAAUGCGUAGAGAUCAGGAAGAACAUCGGUGGCGAAGGCGCUUUGCUGGACCAUAACUGACACUCAGGGACGAAAGCUAGGGGAGCGAAAGGGAUUAG